rnacentral:rRNA from 1 species
UACGAAGGGGGCUAGCGUUGCUCGGAAUCACUGGGCGUAAAGCGCACGUAGGCGGAUUGCUAAGUCAGGGGUGAAAUCCUGGAGCUCAACUCCAGAACUGCCUUUGAUACUGGCAACCUUGAGUCCGGGAGAGGUGAGUGGAACUGCGAGUGUAGAGGUGAAAUUCGUAGAUAUUCGCAAGAACACCAGUGGCGAAGGCGGCUCACUGGCCCGGUACUGACGCUGAGGUGCGAAAGCUAGGGGAGCAAACGGG